AAUAAAAAUAAUUUUCAAUAGUUUUCAAAUUGUUUUAAUGUUUUUAUAUAGUGAAUGUUAGAUUAAUAAUCGUAAAUUUGAUGGUUGAUAGUAUUUGAUAUCGUGGUGGUAAUGGGAAUAUUACUACAUACUACGCUAAGUCCUUAAAUUCUGCAAAUUUUUCUUACGUUGGUAACAUUAAUCAUACCAUAGCAGUAGGAAUUAGCAGUACUCGGUGUAGUUGUAAAACGGCGCUGCAAGGGCAACACUAUUCACUAGUUUGUAGCGUUUUUCAAAAUGCCGAAACCAAAAAGCAUUGUGUGGAAAUUUUUUAAAGUAAUAGAAAAAGACAAGUGUCUUACAAGUCGUUUGACGACUGAAAGAGCUGGAAAAUUGACAUACAUCUCAUUCAAUUUGAAAUUGGAAUUAUCGAAAAAAAAUUUUCAAAGAGAAAAACAAAAAAGAAUGAUGUUUAUUACUCCGUGGGAUGAUAAGGAAUUUGGUCUUCAGGCAGAAGAGUUAGAAGCCGAAUAUGCUGAAGAUGAAGAAGAGUAUAACUUUGAAGAUUUGUCUGACAGUUCUGAAGUUGAAAACUAAAACAGUCUAUUCUUAUUAAGAUUUUACGUUAGAGAAAGAAUAGCUAUUAAUUACUGAUAGUUAAAAGAGACCAAAGCAAAGAUUAACACUUUGUCAUUUAUGUAGCUUUAGCUAAGUAUAGUUUAUCUACUUAGCUCUAUUUGUUCGAAAAGUUAUUUAGAUUUUAACUUAUUAAUUUAAUCGAAAAUCAAAUAAACUUUUAAAUUAAUUUAAUAGCUUAAAUUAAUAGGUACUUUUUGCUAAUGUAAAAUCUUGAUAAAAAUAAACUUUUAUUUUUCAAGAGUCUUAUUUGAUUUCCGAUUAGAUUGAUAAAUUUAUAAUAAUUAACGAUAUUAAUUUUCUGACAGAUCAAAACGGUGUGAUACAAUAUGUGAUACUAAAGCAGAGAUUACUUUGUUAUUUAUGUAGCUUUAGCUAAGUAUAAUUUAUCUACUUAGCUCUAUUUGUUCGAAAAGUUAUUCAGAUUUUAACUUAUCAGUUUAAUCGAAAAUUAAAUAAAUUUUUUAAUUAAUUUAAUAGCUUAAAUUAAUAGUUAUUUUUUUGCUAAUGUAAAAUCUUGAUAAGAUUGGACUGUUUUAGUUUUUAAGAGUUUUAUUUGAUUUUUGAUUAGAUUGAUAAAUUUAUAAUAAUUAACGGUAUUAAUUUUCUGACAGAUCAAAACAGUGUGAUACAUUAUGUGAUACCAAAGCAGAGAUUAAUACUUUGUCAUUUAUGUAACUUUAGCUAAGUAUACUAAAAAUAAAUUAAAUAAAUAAAAUUAGAUUUAAAAAUAAAUAAAAUUAUGCAGUUAAUUUUAAUUUAUAACACUUUUAUGCUUUUUUAUUAAUUAUUAAAUUUACAUGUUGUUUUAAGUGAAUAAACAACAAAUAAACAUUGAUAAUGAAUCUUCUCAUAAAUUUUCGUAAAUUCUCGUACUAACGGUAUAAUACGGGAAUAUUCUUUGAUAUUUUCUCCGAUUUUAUUUUACCGAGAAUUUUUAAACUCUAGUUUUCGUGAUUUUCACCGAAGCUAUGUGCACAUUUACGGUUCUCCUUCAUGCUAUAUGCAGGAGUGAGAUGCGUUAAUUAGAUAAAGACAAUCAAUCUCUGUCUGUUCUUUGUUUAAACCAUUGGUUAAAGAGAGAAAGUAUCCUACCACCUUGUUUUAUUUAUUAAAAAUAGCACAGCAAUUAUUUCUAAGAGCAACAUAUUUCUUUGAUAAUUGGAGCAAUUUAAAGAUUUCAUGUUCUUUUUUUUUUAAAUACAUAUUAUUUAUAAGUUGAAUUAGAUUACACAAUUUUAAAGUGUUAUUUAUUUUUAAGUAAAUACUACUUGUAUUGGAAUAAGAUUUUUCAAUGAAAGUACAAAUAUAGUGCCACUUGAGUUUUAUAGAAAAAUUAAAGAUUUUUUACUAGAAUCCUGCCUUCUUGGGAACCAUACAGCAUAUCCGAGGAAUGUUCUGGGGAUGUUUUUAGAACGUUUUUUGAACGUCAUCCCGUCAUGAAAAUCUGUGCUGGAUUGUUUGUCUUUACAGAUUCCAAGCAAGCAAAAAUAAAUGCAAAUGAAUUAAAAAUUGCAAUUUGUUUUAAUUUAUCCGAGUUUGCGCUUUAGAAUCCCGAAAUAUUUUUUUACUCAAAUGAAUUAAAAUAUGAAAUGCGCUAUUUAUCAUUUUGAAUUUGGAUGAUUUAAUUUCCCAUUAUAUUAUUUUUUUUUUUUAUUCAAAUGAAUGAAAAACUUAAAACGCAAAUUCGUAAGGAACUUAUUUCUAUCCAUUUCAAUUCAUUUUCGUUUGUUGGGAUUACUUAUACAUAAGUUUUUUUAAUUUAUCGAUUGAUCAAUCGCAUUAUGCACAAUUAUGCUCUGUAAAAGCUGCGCAUAAGGCAAUUGAUUGAUCGAUGAAUUUAAAAACUUACUCUAUUUAACAUCUUUCGCUUGUACACUUUACUUUAAAAUAAUUGCGCUUUCUUUCUACUGCUAAUUCCACAUUACGUCGCACUUAUCUUUUUCCCCUUUUAGAAAGCAGGUGCCAGAAAUAUCCUUUUUCUCCCGAUGGAAAAUUGUCUCGUUCUUAUCUUAAUUUAUCUUUAAUGAGACUCGAUUUGUUCAGUUUUUUUAUGGAUUGGACACGUGCCGAUAUAAUUCACUACUGUUACGCAGACACGCGAUAGACACGUAGCCCGAAUCGUAACGACAUUCAAGAUAAAGCACCCGAAAAUAAAUUAUUUAUCGAUUAGAUUUUUACGACUGCGCGUGUCCUUUUUGGUUCCCUCUCGUGUUUCUGCGAAUACGCUCUCUCGCGGAUAUCGCAAUUUAUUUUGGCUUCUAUCAAGUGGUUUUCCGUUUGACUCUCAAAAAACUUUCCUGUUAUCGUUUAUCUCGUAUUUAUCGGCAUGACAUAACUUUGAAAGUCAUACGAUAUCACGAGGAAAAAGGAAAGAGGAAGAAACAACAUAAUAUUCUUGACGCAAUACGAAUUCGUGGGAAGGAGGAAGAGAGAUACGAGCACCGCGCGUGUCGGAUUACCGCGAUGAUUGAUGUUUAGCCAAGUACCAUUUCUUCCAACGUUUUGUUUCUCUUCGCUCCGGAUGGCGAGAGAGAUAUAAGAAAUUAGAGAAGUGUGCCGGGACGUUCAGCACGCAUUACCGGUGACUAUUACAAACAAGCACAGUUUACGCAAUUAAUGCUGUAACGCGUUAUUGCAGAGAAAAAUAUUAGUAUCACGUCAACAAUUUAUUGUUUCAUGUAUGAGCAAGAAUAUAAAAUCUUCUUGGAAGAAUUUACAAUCUUAAACAGAAAUAAUUUGCUUAUAUGAAAAUUUUUAUGUAAGCAAAUUAUUUCUGUUUAAGAUUGUAAGUUCUUCCAAGAAAAUUUUAAAUUCUUGCUUAUAUAUGAAACAAUGAAUUGUUGAUUUGAUGCUAAUUUGUUUCUGUGUAGAGAACACGCGCAAUAAUAACACUCCGGGGACCGUUCGCGCGGGGAAAAUGUCGAAUGGAUAUUUAGGGAGAACCGACAGUCCCCAGCACGAGACCGAAAACAUGCAGUCGAUUGUAAAACGUUAUUACAAUAUUAACCUUUAGACUGUCGGGAAAGCCACCUGUGGCUUUCUCUCGAGUUUGGGUUAGAAUACCACUAUUUUUAGUGAUAGUUCAUAUAUUAAAUAUAUUAAACAUAUAUAUAUAUAUAUGUGUGUGUGUGUGUGUGUGUGUGUGUGUGUGUGUGUGUGUGUGUGUGUGUGUGUGUGUGUGUGUGUGUGUGUGUGUGUGUGCGUGUGCGUGUGCGUGUGCGUGUGCGUGUGCGUGUGCGUGUGUGUGUAGCCCACGCAAUGCAUAGUUCUCCGUUUACAAAAUUUAUCAAAGAUAAUAAAAUCAUGUUUUACAUACAUCGCAUCUGAAAUUAUUUUUUUCGCAAUAUAUACAUAUUGUAGCUAUUUACACAUUAUUUACACUUCUAUUAUUAAUGCAGGUAGAUAAAACGUUAGAGAUACGCAGAGGUAUAUUCGCAGUUAUUAUCGCUAAUUUUCAGUUUGGUAAAACUGGAGGAACGUGACUGAGGACUACGAAUCCUUCGUCACUGGUUACAUUAAAUUAUUCAUCACAGUUCUCAAAAACGAAAAUGUAUAAGAUUUCGCGCGCCGCGAUCUUUCGCUUAGAUCCUUACAAAAAAUUGCGAUAUUUUUACCUAACGCGAUUUAUAUCCUACGUUUUAUUCGUCGUUCCUCGGAUAGAAGAACCAUUAUCGCUCGUCGACUAUCAUCGACACGUUUUUAUGCAUUCGUUGGGAAUAAAACAAAUCAUAUGCACGAGUACGCUGUCGUAGGAAAAAGGAAAAUGACGAUACGUUACGCGGGUAAUAAUAAUAAAAUAAAUCAUAUCGUUUGGCUCUUAACGUCAGCUCGUCACACUUAUCACGCUGACGCUUUUACGCGCAUCAUCGUGAAUUGCAUAAUGCAUCUGAUCUAUUUGUAAACAAUGCGGCUUGCAUACGCUUACUCAUCGAUGCGUUUUUACGUCGUGACAAUAAUGCAAUUUGCAGUUUAGUCGUUGAUGAGCUUUAUAUGCUGAUGCCAGUAACAUGCCGCAAUUAUUGGACAUACUCCUCGUGCCUCUCAAUAAUUCUCGCCCUUACAAGUACUUGUUCGAUAUCGACACGAGCUACAGCUUCGGUAGGGAGGUGUAUUACUCUCCUGUAUUGUUCCACUUAUACUUGACUAUAUGGAGACUAUAAGCACCAUGAUAACAACCGAUACGAGCUACAUAUCAUUCGCGCAACACGUAAUACGCAGUUUGCUCGUCACUAUCGUAUCUAAUAUAUGCCGCUUGUUUUCUGAGAAAUUUCAGUUUAACGCGAAAGAUUAUUUACUUCUCUCUUCAGUGUUCUCUCUUAUACCGUAGAUAAAAUUUUAAUCGUGAUCUCAUAUAAAUAUAAAUAUCAUAGAUAAAGUUUUGAUCGCGGCCUGUUUCAAAGGUACCGAUUACAAAAUUUGGCGUCUUGAGAUAAGUUCGAAGAAAAGUAACCGUUUCGCCGAGGACGCAGAGGUAAAAUUUGUGAUAAGCGAGUUUCCUCGAAUAACGAGGUCUGUUUAACGCGAACUGGUGCUUCUCUUGCGGAAACACUGAGUCUUCAUUGAGUUUCGAGUGAAUUCAACUCGAGUCUUCGCAUAAAUUGCGAGGUGUUUUGCAUUUGAUCUGUAUUUAUCGAUGCAUUUUUCAGAUAUGUCCACUUGCAAUGAAUUGGAUUCUCUGUUCGAACUGUAUUCGUCUAUGGUGUUUUUCCAUUACCAUUGUCAUUAUAAAUCACCUCGGAAUUCAAAGACAGGACAUAUCUUCAAAGAUUUUCUUUCGAAGAAGUUUCGCGAAGUUCCAAAAAAACUUUAUCACUCUAACGUCGGGAUUUCUUAUAUAGAGCAAUUGCGAUAUUUACGUUGUGCGAGGAUUUACAUCGCAGUAAUCUGAGAAAAUAGAAGAAAUGAAGACCCUCUCUUUCUCUCUUUUUCUCUCUGGAACGAGCGUAAAGGGCUUAAUGGUUAUUUCGUGAUACAUACUUAAAUGUAGAGGGGUAGCAAAGGAUGGAGUAUACUAAAAUAAAAACGUUUUUAGCCCUUUUAUACUAUAUUCAGCUUGAUUGUCCCAUUCAGGAAUGGUUACAUCCCUAAAGGCACACAAUAUUCCUAGAAUAUUAUACGAAUAUUAUUAAAAAUUAAAAUAUUACUAUAUGAAUA